GAGCGUCUACGUGGGUGAGAAUCCUGUGUUUCGCUUGAUGCCCGCCGUGCACGGUACUUGCUCUCAGAGUCACGCUCCUCGGAAUUGGAGCGUAAAUUGGGUGGUAAAUUUCAUCUAAAGCUAAAUACAGGCUCGAGACCGAUAGCAAACAAGUACCAUGAGGGAAAGAUGAAAAGGACUUUGAAAAGAGAGUUAAAAGUGCUUGAAAUCGCUGAACUGGAAGCGAAUGGAACUAGUGCUCUGGUUGAGAUUGCUGUAAAUGGCUGCGACAUCUGGGCUCUGGAACGCAAGUCCUUUGUCUGGCUUGAAGUAGUCGCUUGCAAUGUGUCUCAGCUUGAACAUCAACUUCUAUGCAUACGUGAGGAUGGCCCUUGGCUCAUGCUGUGUUGCUGUGGCGAUACUCUUGUGCUUCUGGGGAUUCAGGUGUGUGGUGGAUUG
rnacentral:rRNA from 1 species